rnacentral:rRNA from 1 species
GAUGAACGCUGGCGGCGUGCCUAAUACAUGCAAGUCGAGCGAACAGACGAGGAGCUUGCUCCUCUGACGUUAGCGGCGGACGGGUGAGUAACACGUGGAUAACCUACCUAUAAGACUGGGAUAACUUCGGGAAACCGGAGCUAAUACCGGAUAAUAUAUUGAACCGCAUGGUUCAAUAGUGAAAGACGGUUUUGCUGUCACUUAUAGAUUGAUCCGCGCCGCAUUAGCUAGUUGGUAAGGUAACGGCUUACCAAGGCGACGAUGCGUAGCCGACCUGAGAGGGUGAUAGGCCACACUGGAACUGAGACACGGUCCAGAGUCCUACGAGAGGCAGCAGUAGGGAAUCUUCCGCAAUGGGCGAAAGACUGACGGAGCAACGCCGCGUGAGUGAUGAAGGUCUUCGGAUCGUAAAACUCUGUUAUUAGGGAAGAACAAAUGUGUAAGUAACUAUGCACGUCUUGACGGUACCUAAUCAGAAAGCCACGGCUAACUACGUG